UACAUUCCUUUUAAGGAAUAAAUAUUGUAGAUAUAUUUAUGCACUGAGUUCCAGAAAUAAUAUUUUUUGAUAGAUCUUUGCUCCGUUCAGAGAAGCACCAAACUCUGACAGACUCAUGCAGCCUCCAUGUACUGAUGCCCUUCCUAUGUGUUGUAAGAAACAGCAGGAACUACCUGAAGGAAGAUUUCCAUCAAGACCAAUCCUGAAGAAUAAUGGCCUAAUUCAAAUGACCUUGCAGAACUGUUGUCCAACAUUCCAGAUCCUAAAAUCUUGGAUUCAGAAAAAAGGGCACAGCAAUGAAUCUUCUUCUAAGUAGAUCACCAAAGAGCAAAGAGUGAAAUCAGUAAUAGUUUGCUUGGUAAUAUUGUGAAAUCACAACAACAAAACCACCACAAUUUAAGGUGACCACAAAAUACAUCAGUCAAUCAAUUUCCUACUCGGAACUGCUACAGACCUGAAGAUUUAAAAUUAAAAUGUCAUUCUGCAAUUCCUCCCCCUCCCCAUGUUUCUAAGAUGGGAAGCUAUAAAGGAGUAAAUGGAAGAGAGCAUUCAAACUACUUUGUUACCAUCACUAUGCUACACAGAAAAAUCUGAGAAAUGAUCAAGAACAUGAGAAUAACUUGAUAGGUCAGCCAAUCUGUCUAACAAUCCGUUUCACACAAUAGCCAUGAAAUGCAUCUAGGAAACCCGGAAAUAGAAGAUCCAUCCAGUGCUCCUCUCCCAUUGUUGCUUCUGUGUACCUAGUGGGUUGACUAAUUGCCAUCUUGGACAUAGCACCCAGUCAUCAAGACUGGUAACUGAUGCUUGUCCUUCAUUAAUUUAUAUACUAUACUGCAAUUCCUUUCUGAGACCUCUAAACUAAUAGCCACAGUUUAUUGCAGCCUAUUUCUCUACUGAUUGCAUGCUAUGUAAACAAAUGUUUCUUCACAUGAAUUUUAAAAGUAUAUCAUCAGAAAGAAGUGCUGAAAAAUUUAGAGAGGCUCCUCAAAUUUUUCUUUAAAACAAUCAGACAGGGUUGGUUGAUUGACAAUAUUUGUAGCUGUUCUUGUGCGCACAUUAGACCCAUGAAAGAAUCCAGAGUUGGCAUUGACAAGAUAUUUGUUUUUCCCUUCUCCUUUCCUAGGCCAGUAGAUGGUUUGCUUAAAAGAUUCUGCUUAAAAGAAAAGAGCAGCCUUCUCUGGUCUCAAAUAAACUGAAUACCGGCAAUACAACUGACUCAGGUCUCAAAAUGAUCCCACAUCAUUCCUUCGUAUGGAUCCAGAACCAAUUACGAUGGAAUGCAAAUUGCCCUAUUGGUUUGGAUUAUUGUAUUCACCUGCUAUAUGAACUGCUUUUGAAGAAUAUUUGGACCAUCAUUCCAUACUGAAUUGUAGCCACCAAUGUGUAGUUGGAUGUGGAUGCUGUAGACUUAUUGGCCCAUUCUGUUUUUCAUUCCCCCUCCCUUCAAUUCUUUCCCAUGCAGUUCUGAUGUUGUUUAUAAAAAUGUCAAUCUAUCAGCUGAAUUAAUUUCUACUAGAGACUGGAUUCAAUUGGUCCCAAAGUCAUUUAAAAUCUGUACAUAUGGGGUAUUAAAAAGGUGUUUAAAAUAAGAGUAUUCAUCAGAUCUAAGACAAAACUUGAUUUGGAAAAGAAUUCAUUUUGAAUUGAGUCAAAAGCUGCCUACUAUUGUGAUCCAAACUGAAAGUAAUUUUUGAAAAACCAAACCUUUGUGACUACCAUUGAAUAGCAUGAAAAAUACACAAAUAUUUUUAGCUAUAUAAAAUAAAUAAGUAGCUAUAUAAUUUUUUUUAGAAAAAAAAGUUAAAAUUGAAUGUAAUAAAUGUAAUAAAAUGUGCAGGUGCUAAGGAGAACUAGAAAAAAGCUCAAAAAGACAUUCAAAAAGAACUUUAAGGAGAAUGCAGAAGAAAAUAGAAGUAUUCAGAAAUGAGAAAAGAUGAACAGUCUAUUUUGUGUCUACAAACACACACAUACAUUAAGGAAAAUAAGAAUAGCCCCAAAUAUUAACACCACUAUGCAUUUAUUAUAUAUUUAAUGAUAAUAAAUGACUUUGCAUAUGGUUAAAACCCAAAUGUUGUUUAAUGUAAGAGCAGAUUAAUCUUUAGUGAGGUCUUUAUUCUAGGAAAGCAACUAUCUGCGUGUAUAUGUUUAUGUGUUUAAAUAGCAUGUUACAUAUACAUAUAUGUAUACAUAUGCAUGAAUGAGAACACAAGGUAGGUGUAUUAUACUGUAAAAUAUAGGUUACUUACUGUACAUUUAUAGUUUCCAUAUUAUUUUGAAUUAUUUCCAUUAUUUCUUGAGUUCUUCCCCUUUAUGGAGUUAACAUGCUAAGACCCAGUUCUAAGCUCUAGGUAGACUAAUAAAUACUUUUCAGAUGGUUUAACUACAAUAGCCGUAAUCUCUGGCCAAUACGGCCCAUUGCCAGCAGUUACAAGAAUUGUAAUUUGGAAUAUAUAAAGGAUACCAGGCAGCCUGUAGCAGCUCUGUGACAUUUUUUCUUACUCAUGGGAUUAAUCAUUUUGCACUUUGCAAAUUAAUCUUAGAACAGCUAAAAAAGUUCCACCCAGGAUGUCUCUGACCUGGAAGAAAGAUCUGGAAUGUUCUUAAGCCCAAACGACAAAGGGAGAGUGUAGAAUUGCUGGAGGUGAAGCCUCUCUGCAUUCAGCUCAGAGCAAAACAGAAACAUUUUGUGAAACUGAUACUACUAAAAUAAACUGGAAUAGAAGAAUGACAAAGGAAAUUCUGAUUUAAAUAACCUUGUCAAUACUGAGUUGCUGGAAUCGUCACAUAUUGUGUUCCCUUUUCUUAGUCUCUUUGGCUUUUACUCUUCUACUUGGUCUGCCUGUGGUGUCAGUUAAUGACCUUGUGAAGCUUCUUUUAUUAACGCUACUAGUUUUUGAUUUCUCCUGUUCAGUUUGUGAGACUUUCUAGCUUUGACUCCUGACAGACUACAGAUUGCUCUUCUCUGAUCAAACCUUCCUGACUGCAAACUCCAGCAGAGAUUGUCAGCCUUGGGCAAGACAGCAGUAAAUUCUUGCAGUAAAUCUCACUGAACCUGAAUAAAUGCUUAUGAUACAACUGGGCGGACAUCCUGAUGAAAUGAUGCAUAUAUAGGUGUCCAGUAUUUCAAGCUGUGCAUUCAAAUGGAAAGCAUGACUGACAUGCACUUUUAUGAAAAUAAGAUUAAUCAACAUCAGUGCACUUUGAUUAAAGAACCAUCUUUCUUCAAUAAACUGCAACCUUCUUUCUAAAGCAGUCACCAUGUUGUUUAUCCCCGGUUUGGAUGAAUCAUGAUGAAGACUUUUCCUUCAACAAAAGGUUUCAUCUAAAAGACAAGUUUUUCCCUCUGUCUCCAAAGUCCCUGCUCUCAAGGAGAAAUGAGGAAUCCCAUAGUAACGUAUUGGCUACACAGACUUCAUACCUUAAUCCUCUGCUUUUCUUAACUCUCAGAUUCUAGUGAAGUGUUUAUUUCUACUGCCUGUCCUUCAAGCUUAAUAGCUUUAGAAGUGGUGAUACAUAUUUCUAAUAGACUGUAGAUACUUACAAGGGAACAAAACAUUCUCCUAUUUUUGUACAAGAAAUGUGCUCUACUUGGCAAGAACAAUGAGCAAGAUUCUUCAACCAUUUCAGUUAAUUUUAUUUACAUAUAAAAUGUACGCUACUACCCACCUGCCUACAGACCUACACACACACACAAAUAUAUGCAAUUACUUGUACAUUUGUAUAGUCCCCUUUGGGGCUAAGCAACAUUAUGUAAAAGGAACCAAAAAUAGUAAGUAAAUGACCUAAAAAAGAUUAAAAGAACAGCUGCUCCCAAAUAAUCUUAUAAGAAUUGACCUCUGUUACUCAUCCUGGCUUGUUCAAUGAAGGUUCAAUCAGAGAACACUUCAUAGUUAUCUAAAGAACGAGCAGACCAGCCAUAAUAAUAUCUGUGUCUGCUAAUGCUAAGAACCCUACUAGUCAAUUUGGGCAUAUUUUGGACAGAGUGUUACAAGCACAAAGCUCAGUUUUGCUCCAGAGAUGCCUCAGUUCUUAACCUAGGAAUAUGAAACCUGUGGCUUUUUGGAUGUUAGCCAACUAUACUGCCUCACAUUCUUCACCAUUGACUAUGCCAAUUGAAAAUGCUAAGAUACUUGGAGUGCUAUAGCUUCCUCAGUUCUAUCCUAGAGGCAAAACUAUUUUUGUGGAAUACCAUUAAUAGGAAUAUUAUAUGUAUUGUAUCGUAUCGUAUCAUAUCGUAUUAUAUUUAUAUUAAUUUACUUGGGAACUGUUUUACAGCAUAAUGUUUGAUGUCUUGAUCCAAUUCCUCGAAGAAUGUAAUAAUAACAGAGAAGGUGUGCUCCUGGUGUCCCAAUAGAUCACUUCGCUGAAUCAAAAGAAUCCAGAGUGCACCAACCUUGCAGAAUCAAAUGGGAUAGGCAGAUAGUAUGGAGACAGUUAGGCCCUUAUGCGACCAGGUCCUAUGCCAUGUAAGGCUUUGUAGCUAAUCACCAGCCCCUUGAAUUACACUUGCUAUCUACUCACAACUGAAUAUCAACAAAAGGUUCUUGAUAUAAUUACAGAUCCCUUUCUUCCUUCUCAGCUUUCUCUCUACUGUAUCUUAAUACUCCAAAGGAACAAUUUUAUUUUAUUUCUGCAGUGCCAUAUUCUUUCAUGGAACAUUAGGCAUAGACAAAAAGUAA